rnacentral:misc_RNA from 1 species
CGAAAGCGUUUUUAACAGCGCAAAACCCACUGUGAACAUACCUGUUUGUUGCUUCGGCAGGCGGCCCCAGGGCGGGGCCAGCAGCCUGUAUUUUUUUCAGGCGCCUGCCGGAGGCCACUUCAAACUCUUUUGUAUACGUACUGUCUGAGCCUAAAACAAGAUACGUUA